rnacentral:rRNA from 1 species
UACGUAGGGUGCGAGCGUUAAUCGGAAUUACUGGGCGUAAAGCGUGCGCAGGCGGAUGUUUAAGUCAGAUGUGAAAUCCCCGGGCUCAACCUGGGAAUGGCAUUUGAAACUGGGCAUCUAGAGUGCGUCAGAGGGGGGUGGAAUUCCACGUGUAGCAGUGAAAUGCGUAGAGAUGUGGAGGAACACCGAUGGCGAAGGCAGCUCCCUGGGAUGACACUGACGCUCAUGGACGAAAGCGUGGGGAGCAAACAGGAUUAGAUACCCUGGUAGUCCACGCCCUGAACUAUAUCAUCUAGUUGUUGGGGAGGUAAGUUCUUAGUGACUAAGCUAACGCGUUAAGUUGACCGCCUGGGGAGUACGGCCGCAAGGUUG